GCCCCAGUAGCUCAGGCGGUAGAGCACCUGCCUUUUAAGCAGGGUGUCCGGGGUUCGAGUCCCCGCUGGAGCACCA
rnacentral:tRNA from 1 species